GGUGUGGCAAAGGGCUCGGGUUAUUUUUAUCCCGAAGAUAGGAAACAGAGACUACUCUCUCGCUAAGUCCUUCAGGCCGAUAAGUCUAACGUGUCUAACGUCUUUUCUGCUUAAGGCAAUGGAGAAAGUUAUCGACCAUGAAAUCAAGUACAACAACCUGAAACAAGCGCCUUUGCAUCCUGAACAGCAUGCCUACAGAGCGGGUAGUACAAGGCGCCGUUGAGUGUGGUGAGACAGUACUCUGUGCCUUCAUGAUGGUGUUGACCGGGCACUUGAAAAACGUAAUGUGCAGACAACUAUCGGCAAUUGCAUAGCUAGGCUACUUCGCACAAGCAUAGUUGAAACCGGCAUCGUGGACAACGUGGUACACCUACAUAAGAAGAGCACAUUGGGUGAGCCCACCUGGGCUAAGGCAGGCUAAAGUACUUCUUGAAGGCUAUAAUACCAAAAGAUCUAGGGAACUAAUAACCCUUCAAUAGACUAAGACUGAUAACCAGGCAAGGGUGAACAACCUCAUUGUGAUUAUUGCCAGAGAGUAGUUCAUGAGAACUCUCUGCUCGUACCUAGCACAAUCAAGGAAGACCUCUGGAGGGGAGUAACAGACUCAGAGAUCAACGCCGGUUUACACCUGCUUCGCGAGUGCGAGGCGGUCGCAAGAUGGGAGAGGUACCUAGGGCAACUCUGACCUAAGUUUUUAUUGGCACGAAAAACUGGCCCUGAUAAAAAGUUUUAUACCAGUUGCAUCGUAAAAUAAUUUGAAAAUUGUUCUUCCAAAAUACCUUUCUUUAAUUCAAAUGAACAUGAUACAUACAUACAUACGUUGGUUGGAUACAUAUGCCGAUUGCAAUAGUACCAGACAAAAUGGAAAUUUCAAAAAAUCAUAAUUACAUAACCGUUUUCUGUUACAAUUUAUUUUUUAUACUUUUAAGUUGCGUUAAUAAGAAUCGUUCAUGCAAUUUUGUUGCACAAUUUUUCUUUCCUUUAAUGAACAAAAAACCCAACGAAUAUCUUUCGUUUUCGACGCUUUUAAAAUUAUAAAUGAUAAGCACGUACAUACAUACUUAUGUAUUGUGUGUAUAUAAAAAAAAAAUAUUUUUAAACAUAUGAUUAGAAUAUCUUUCAGUUAUAGUAGUUUAUACAGAUUGUUUUGAAUUUUGAACUGAGAAAAAAAUUUAAAAUUGCUGGAAGAAUCUAUAAAGGUAAAGAGCCAGUGUUGUUAUUUCUUAGUUAUUUUCCCAAUUGGAAUUUGUGGACGACAGUCCGACUAAUUAUGCGAAAGGAUAUUGUUGGGGUAGUACAAAAGAAGGGUAGAAAUAAACGAGCAAAGUAUACGUAUUA